rnacentral:rRNA from 1 species
GGCUCAGGAUGAACGCUAGCUACAGGCUUAACACAUGCAAGUCGAGGGCAGCGGGAUUGAAGCUUGCUUCAAUUGCCGGCGACCGGCGCACGGGUGAGUAACGCGUAUCCAACCUUCCGUACACUCAAGGGAUAGCCUUUUCGAAAGAAAGAUUAAUACCUGAUGGUAUGAUGAGAUUGCAUGAUAGCAUCAUUAAAGAUUUAUCGGUGUACGAUGGGGAUGCGUUCCAUUAGGUAGUAGGCGGGGUAACGGCCCACCUAGCCUACGAUGGAUAGGGGUUCUGAGAGGAAGGUCCCCCACAUUGGAACUGAGACACGGUCCAAACUCCUACGGGAGGCAGCAGUGAGGAAUAUUGGUCAAUGGACGAGAGUCUGAACCAGCCAAGUAGCGUGAAGGAUGAAGGUCCUACGGAUUGUAAACUUCCUUUAUAAGGGAAUAAAACCUCCCACGUGUGGGAGCUUGUAUGUACCUUAUGAAUAAGCAUCGGCUAACUCCGUG